GGACUUGGAACAAAAGGGGGAACUCUGAUGAACUCUCUCCUCCCCUCUCCCCCGGACGCCCGGGUAUCUCUCCCUCUCGCAACUUUGCCGCCGCGACUUUCUCCGCUGUCGGGCCACACACAAAAGUGUCCGAGCGCCUUGCGGACUGCAGCAAGGGAAAUGUCCCUUGGCAGUGCGACGAGGUGGGGACGAAGGUGCAGUUAUUAUCAUCAGCAUCUAGAAAGCAUCAUUCAGGGCAUUGACAUCCAUACUGCAUUGUUCUUACUGGAUCUUUCUAUCAGUGAACAUUAUGGAAGUACCAAUACAGCAUCAAGUUAUUCCUGGAUGGAAAGUUUUCAAACUUCUUCAUUUGGAGUUACUUGAACUUUAGGAUGAUAGGCUUUUUGACGAUGCCUUCCCUAUGUGGAUUACUACAGUUUGAUCACUGGGAAUUCUCUGCCUCCAAGCAGCACUCUCAGGUGACUACAGAAGCGUUGGCACCCAGCAUGCUCAGGU